rnacentral:rRNA from 1 species
GACAGAGGGUGCAAACGUUGUUCGGAAUUACUGGGCGUAAAGCGCGUGUAGGCGGCGAUGCAAGUCGGAUGUGAAAGCCCUCGGCUCAACCGGGGAAGUGCACCCGGAAACUGCAACGCUAGAGUCUCGGAGAGGAUCGUGGAAUUCUCGGUGUAGAGGUGAAAUUCGUAGAUGAUCGAAGAGGAACACCGGUGGCGAAGGC